AAACAAACUGAGAACAUUGUGGCGGUACCUGUUAUGCAAGACAUGCGGAUGACUAUGCAAAUGCAAUGACAUGUUUAUCAAUUCCAAAAGUAUUCUACCCCCUUGAUUCCAGUCUCACAUUUGAUAAACAGUGUAAAAAGAAAACCCCGACUAGAAUCAAGAAGAAGAUUUAAACCCCCUUGAAAAGGAUAAACAUGUGUUAAAUGAUAUGAAUGCAAAUGAUGUGAUGAUGUGAAUGCAAUGCAGUGGUAUGUCAAUCAGGAUUGCUAUAUCUGCUUGAACAUCUGUCAGGUUGCACUGUCUGGAGAGAAAUUAAGAGCACACCAAACAAAGGUCAUGGGAUGGAUCAUGUUAUC
rnacentral:lncRNA from 1 species